rfam:Oryza glaberrima chromosome 4 Oglab04_0216_1, whole genome shotgun sequence.
AAAAAGGCAAACCCUGAGUUUCCGUGUCUAACUUUGACUGUCCGUCUUAUAUGAAAUUUUUUUAUAAUUCGUAUUUUCAUUGUGGUUAAAUGAUAAAAUAUGGUUAAUAUUUUACGCGUGACUUGUCUUUUUAAUUUUUUCAUAAUUUUUUCAAAUAAGACGGACGGUCAAACGUUGGACACGGAAACCAGUGUUUGUCUUUUUU